ensembl:lncRNA
CUGACGAGUGGUGAUGCCUCGCUGCAGUUUUGAUUUGCGUUUCUCCCAUCGUCAUCGAUGCUGCGCAUCCCUUCGUGUGCCUCUUGGCCUCGCUACGGUCUCCAGGCUCUUUGGUGGGUUUGGAGCCGCCGGUCACCCAGUUUCCGGUCGAGGACACGGGCGUCUUCCGCUGAAGUCCAUUUCUUCCGGGAGAAGCAGGUCUGGGCAGUGUGUGGGGCCCGGGGACAUGGCUGCUGCUGACCACAGGCCGCACCUCCUCUUCAUGGUUUUGAAAAUACGUUUUUAUUUUUGGAACUGUUUGCUGUCCUUUCCUGAAAGGGAGCUUAAUGACCAGGUACCCCUCUGGCGUCCUACCCCACCCACAGGGAGAGUUUGAUUUUUGCCCAUUUCAGUUUCUCGAGCAUUUGAUGGAAACAGACAACGUCAACAGUAGGGCUUUGAGAAGCUGGAACAGCUGGAUGACGGGAGUGCGAAGUCCUCCCGUGACUCGAAACGCUGACUCACUGAGAGAGAGAGAAGACUUCAAUACAAUCCACGAAGUCGGUGCUCUGAGCACUUAGGCAGAGCUGCCCUGGCCUCCCAGCCCUGAGGCUGCGAUGCUGGGAGGGGACUGAAGACACCAGCCUCCAG